CACGGAUUGCGACGAAUCAAAGUGGGUCUACGACUAAAACCAAUAGAUGUCUUAUAAUUAUUCUGCUUCGAACAGCGAAUAAUUGAUGAUGACUCGAUCGAUUGCAUGAGUAAAUGAUUUUGGCUCCUAAAUUUGGAUCCCUGAGCUGAUUAUAUAUAAGAUGAAGCUCAAAAAACCGAAAAAAAAUUCGAUUUUCGACUUUUUCGGACAAAGGGCGAGGUUUUUUGGGGAUUCUUUAUUUCGGGGAUAUGUUAUGUUUGAAUUUCACCGCUGUUGGUCACGCCUGCGCACUCGCCGAUACAGCUAGCGCUAAGUCGCGGAAUUUUCGUGAACUACAAAAACUAGUGCCAUCUGAUGGACUUUUCAAAAACUGAUUUCAGCGCAAGUCCACAUGGGGUAAGUUACCUACGAACAAUUUAUCGUCAUCGGUCGGCAACUCCGCAUAGGGUAAAUUACCUACGAACAAUUCAUCGUCAUCGGUCGGUAUCAGAUCUGAUAACUUACUGAUCAAAAACUCGUGACACACCCUUGACGUUCCAUCGGAGCAUGUUCUUUAAAUCGAAGUUGAACACAACCCUGAUGUUGACGAAUACUAAUGAUGACAUGUCAUUGAAUUUACUCCUUUGUCCAGGUAAUUGCAUUCUUGGUCUCGACACGGAAAAAACCCAGAGGAUCAGAGGCUACAGUCUUCAGGUAUUUGCAAUUUUCGGGCCUGGACAAUAAAUCCAAGCAACUGCGAAGUUACGUGUCAGUCUUAUUUUAAUAUGGAUACAGCGUCUCAAAGGAAAAUGCAGGUUUUUUGGUUCCUGGCUUCUGCAGCAUCCGGUAAUCUAUAAACAUUUUAAUAUUUGUACUUGUUUCAGAAAAAUCGUUGGGGUCCUCUGUUCGAUUCGCGAUGCUGCUCUUUGACAGAACUUCGCACGUGUUGUCCAUUUUGUCGCAUUUCUGAACGGAAAAAUGGAGAUCUUUCGACGAGUAUCAGGAAUUGCUCGGUCCAGUCGACACGCUCGUUUUCCUGAAGCCGUAAUAUAGAUUCGGAUUCCUGAGCCAAUAAAAAUAUUAGGAAUACCAUACAUAAGUCAAAAACAUGAAGGUUUUAUCAAGUUCAAAUAAUAUUUUGAAAAAAGUGUCGCGUCUGACAUGGAAUGCGCUAUAAAUCCUGCUAAGAAUCAUGUAUUCGCCAUAUGGGAUAAUAAUCUACAUUCACGCGUGUACGUAACAUGAGAAUUAUAUAUAGCGCUGCACUGGAUUCGAGCUAAUUAAAUAAAUAAAUAAAU